GGGCGACUGAACCGGGAAGAGCCCAGCGCAUAACCUCGUGUCCUAACCCGGCACGAGGGGUGUUGCGUUUCGGAGGGUCCGGCACGCCGUGCCAUACCGCCUAAGUUAGAGCAUGAAUGCAGCCCACUGCCCAUGGAGGGUGUCAGGCCCGUGUGGCGGCGCCCGCGAGGGUAAAGAUGGCACGGUCGGAAAGGGCCUCUCCGUAGAGUCGGGUUGCUUGAUAGUGCAGCCCAAAGCAGGUGGUAAACUCCAUCUAAGGCUAAAUAUGACCACGAGACCGAUAGCGAACAAGUACCGUGAGGGAAAGUUGAAAAGAACUUUGAAGAGAGAGUUCAAGAGUACGUGAAACCGUUAAGAGCCAAACGGAUGGAACCUUGAAGGUCGAACCGAGGGAUUCAGGCGGCCGACUUCGGCUGGGUGCGGGUCUCUCUGUCUGUCCGCCGAUUCAGUCGGAAGCAGCGACCCACGAAUGCUUGGGCGUGCCUGCACCCACGCUGGCGUCGGCCGGCGAUCUUCCCUCGUUGUAGGGCGCCGCGACCCGUUGCUGGGGACGUCGAAGGCCCGGACGGACUGGUAGCCUUGAGGCUUCCUCCUCUUUUUCUCCUUCGUCCGCCUGCCUACCGGCGGCGGCGGGGGGGAAUACACGGGAGGAGGAGGAUGAUUGGCGAAACCGCCGGUGAUCCUGGCGGUCCUGCGACGGUCGCAGAGACGAGCCAGCCCGCGCAAGCGGGCUGUCUCUCGCGGCGUGCAAAGAGAUCGGCGAACCAUCCGACCCGUCCUGAAACACGGACCAAGGAGUCUAACAUGUGUGCGAGUCAGUGGGCGCACUAAACCCAAAGGCGUAAUGAAAGUGACAGGCCCGGCGUGCGCACCUUUCAGUGGCGCGUGCGCCGGAGCCGGGGCCGAUCCCCUCGCCGGCUGCUGACUCUGCCUCCACCUAUCUCCCGCCCCCGGGCAGGUAAGCAUUGGUCGAGUUAUUUUCCCUCUGCCCCUGUCGACAAGGCGUGGCAUAUGGGGGUGGUGGCUGCAGGGAAUGCGAUGGCGUGAAAUAUCCAGCCUGCCUGUGCAGGAGGGGGGGGCGCAGGCCCGGGACUUGCCGAGAUGCCGCCGCCGCCGCCGCCGUCGUCGUGAGGCGUGCGUGCGAGCGUGCGUGCGGCGGCAGCAAGUACCACGAGCAGACAUGUUGGGACCCGAAAGAUGGUGAACUAUGCCUGGCCAGGAUGAAGCCAGAGGAAACUCUGGUGGAGGUCCGUAGCGAUUCUGACGUGCAAAUCGAUCGUCUGAGCUGGGCAUAGGGGCGAAAGACUAAUCGAAUCAUCUAGUAGCUGGUUCCCUCUGAAGUUUCCCUCAGGAUAGCUGGAACUCGCAGGAUGAAUUUCAUCCGGUAAAGCGAAUGAUUAGAGGUCUUGGGGACGAAACGUCCUCAACCUAUUCUCAAACUUUAAAUGGGUGAGAUGCCGAGCUUGCUCGAACACUUUAAUGAAGCUCCGGCAGCUAAUCUGAGUAUCUAGUGGGCCAUUUUUGGUAAGCAGAACUGGCGCUGUGGGAUGAACCAAACGUCGAGUUAAGGGGCCUAAACGAAUGCUCAUUCGGAUCCCAUCGAAAGGCGUUGGUUGCUAUAGACAGCAGGACGGUGGCCAUGGAAGUCGGAAUCCGCUAAGGAGUGUGUAACAACUCACCUGCCGAAGCAACUAGCCCUUAAAAUGGCAUGGCGCUCAAGCAUUCUCCCGAUACUCGACCGCCGGGGCACUAGUGGCCACGCUCUCUCUCAGAGGCGAGGUCUCGAAGCCCCGGUGAGUAAGAGGGUCGCGGUGGUGAGCGUUGAAGGGUUUCGGCGUGGGCCGGCCUGGAGCCGCCACUGGUGCAGAUCUUGGUGGUAGUAGCAAAUACUCGAGAGAGGAGCCCUUGAAGGCCGAAGUGGAGCAGGGUUCCAUGUGAACAUCAGUUGGACAUGGGUUAGUCGCUCCUAAGCCCAAGGCUAAGGCCUGAUCCCACGCCAGUGGCAAAGACACAAAGGCUGGCAGCGCGGCUGUUGCUGCUGCCACAGCGGCAGCAGCAGCAGUCGGCGAAAGGCAAAAAAAGAAGCAGGCAAAUGAAUAACAAUGCCUUGCUACAGGCAAAGGCCAGUUGCUAAGGGAUCAGUGGCGAAAGGGAAUACGGUACUUAUUCCGUAACCAGGACUCGGAUACCAGGCAGGGAGGGCUUUGAAUCAGCCGCCCUGCCGCUAUGGAGGAUCCCGGAAACGGGAACCUGCUCGCGCCCACCGGCGGUGGUCCGGGAAAGAGUUUUCUUUUCUGUUUAAGGCGCCGUGACCCUCAAAGCCAUCCGCUGUGAGAGAGGGUGUUGGUAAGACGGUGUGCCGUAGAGCGCCGCGGUUCUUGCGGCGUCCCGCGCGCCACCGCCGGUCCGUGAAAACGCGAGGCAGGUCAAAACUCCGGCUGAGUCGGGACCACUGUUGCUGCUUGCUCAGUGCCCGCUAAUGGCCCCUAUUUCGGUCCUGUGCGUACCCAUAUCCGCAGCAGGUCUCCAAGGUAAGCAGCCU
rnacentral:rRNA from 1 species